GACGAACGCUGGCGGCGUGCCUAAUACAUGCAAGUCGAGCGGAUCUUGUCCUUCGGGAUAAGGUUAGCGGCGGACGGGUGAGUAACACGUAGGCAACCUGCCCUCGAGACUGGGAUAACCUCCGGAAACGGAUGCUAAUACCAGAUACGCGAUCUUCCCACCUGGGGAGAUCGGGAAAGACGGAGCAAUCUGUUACUCGGGGAUGGGCCUGCGGCGCAUUAGCUAGUUGGUGAGGUAACGGCUCACCAAGGCGACGAUGCGUAGCCGACCUGAGAGGGUGAUCAGCCACACUGGGACUGAGACACGGCCCAGACUCCUACGGGAGGCAGCAGUAGGGAAUCUUCCGCAAUGGACGAAAGUCUGACGGAGCAACGCCGCGUGAGUGAGGAAGGCCUUCGGGUCGUAAAGCUCUGUUGCCAGGGAAGAACGCUUGGGAGAGUAACUGCUCCCAAGGUGACGGACCUGAGAAGAAAGCCCG
rnacentral:rRNA from 1 species